GACGAACGCUGGCGGCGUGCCUAAUACAUGCAAGUCGAACGCUUCUUUUUCCACCGGAGCUUGCUCCACCGGAAAAAAAAGAGUGGCGAACGGGUGAGUAACACGUGGGUAACCUGCCCAUCAGAAGGGGAUAACACUUGGAAACAGGUGCUAAUACCGUAUAACAAUCGAAACCGCAUGGUUUUGAUUUGAAAGGCGCUUUCGGGUGUCGCUGAUGGAUGGACCCGCGGUGCAUUAGCUAGUUGGUGGGGUAACGGCUCACCAAGGCCACGAUGCAAAGCCGGCCUGAGAGGGUGAUCGGCCACAUUGGGACUGAGACACGGCCCAAACUCCUACGGGAGGCAGCAGUAGGGAAUCUUCGGCAAUGGACGAAAGUCUGACCGAGCAACGCCGCGUGAGUGAAGAAGGUUUUCGGAUCGUAAAACUCUGUUGUUAGAGAAGAACAAGGAUGAGAGUAACUGUUCAUCCCUUGACGGUAUCUAACCAGAAAGCCACGGCUAACUACGUGCCAGCCGCCGCCGUAA
rnacentral:rRNA from 1 species